ACUGUCGCACGGUUCACCGAGAGCGAUUGGAAAAUCGCGCACGAUACGAAAACUGUACGCGUAUGUCCCACGCGCGUCGAUCGCGUUAGAGUUGUACACGUUGUACCUGCACGCAGUGUUGUAGGCGUCGGCGAAAUCGACGACAAUGCGAAGGGGACAGGGGCGAAUUCUUCGAUAGUGUCGAUACGCGUUUCAAAUCGAGUACUGCCGCACAGUAAUUCCGCAUCUUUAGAACGAAAUAACCGUUUGUUAUAUAGAAUUAGCAAUUUAACAUUAAGGUGUCUAUCGUUUAUCAGCCAUCCAGCUGGAUUUGAGGUUGAG